rnacentral:rRNA from 1 species
AGCGUACACGGUGGAUGCCCUGGCAGUCAGAGGCGAUGAAGGGCGUGCUAAUCUGCGAUAAGCGCCGGUAAGGUGAUAUGAACCGUUAUAACCGGCGAUACCCGAAUGGGGAAACCCAGUGUGAUUCGUCACACUAUCAUUAACUGAAUCCAUAGGUUAAUGAGGCGAACCGGGGGAACUGAAACAUCUAAGUACCCCGAGGAAAAGAAAUCAACCGAGAUUCCCCCAGUAGCGGCGAGCGAACGGGGAGGAGCCCAGAGCCUGAAUCAGCAUGUGUGUUAGUGGAAGCGUCUGGAAAGGCGCGCGAUACAGGGUGACAGCCCCGUACACAAAAGCGCAUGUGCUGUGAGCUCGAUGAGUAGGGCGGGACACGUGGUAUCCUGUCUGAAUAUGGGGGGACCAUCCUCCAAGGCUAAAUACUCCUGACUGACCGAUAGUGAACCAGUACCGUGAGGGAAAGGCGAAAAGAACCCCGGCGAGGGGAGUGAAAAAGAACCUGAAACCGUGUACGUACAAGCAGUGGGAGCACCCUUUGGUGUGACUGCGUACCUUUUGUAUAAUGGGUCAGCGACUUAUAUUCUGUAGCAAGGUUAACCGUAUAGGGGAGCCGUAGGGAAACCGAGUCUUAACCGGGCGUUAAGUUGCAGGGUAUAGACCCGAAACCCGGUGAUCUAGCCAUGGGCAGGUUGAAGGUUGGGUAACACUAACUGGAGGACCGAACCGACUAAUGUUGAAAAAUUAGCGGAUGACCUGUGGCUGGGGGUGAAAGGCCAAUCAAACCGGGAGAUAGCUGGUUCUCCCCGAAAGCUAUUUAGGUAGCGCCUCGUGAAUUCAUCUCCGGGGGUAGAGCACUGUUUCGGCUAGGGGGCCAUCCCGGCUUACCAACCCGAUGCAAACUGCGAAUACCGGAGAAUGUUAUCACGGGAGACACACGGCGGGUGCUAACGUCCGUCGUGAAGAGGGAAACAACCCAGACCGCCAGCUAAGGUCCCAAAGUCAUGGUUAAGUGGGAAACGAUGUGGGAAGGCCCAGACAGCCAGGAUGUUGGCUUAGAAGCAGCCAUCAUUUAAAGAAAGCGUAAUAGCUCACUGGUCGAGUCGGCCUGCGCGGAAGAUGUAACGGGGCUAAACCAUGCACCGAAGCUGCGGCAGCGACACUAUGUGUUGUUGGGUAGGGGAGCGUUCUGUAAGCCUGUGAAGGUGUGUCGUGAGGCAUGCUGGAGGUAUCAGAAGUGCGAAUGCUGACAUAAGUAACGAUAAAGCGGGUGAAAAGCCCGCUCGCCGGAAGACCAAGGGUUCCUGUCCAACGUUAAUCGGGGCAGGGUGAGUCGACCCCUAAGGCGAGGCCGAAAGGCGUAGUCGAUGGGAAACGGGUUAAUAUUCCCGUACUUGGUGUUACUGCGAAGGGGGGACGGAGAAGGCUAUGUUGGCCGGGCGACGGUUGUCCCGGUUUAAGCGUGUAGGUGUGUGUUCCAGGUAAAUCCGGUUCACUUUAACACUGAGGCGUGAUGACGAGGCACUACGGUGCUGAAGCAACAAAUGCCCUGCUUCCAGGAAAAGCCUCUAAGCAUCAGGUAACAUCAAAUCGUACCCCAAACCGACACAGGUGGUCAGGUAGAGAAUACCAAGGCGCUUGAGAGAACUCGGGUGAAGGAACUAGGCAAAAUGGUGCCGUAACUUCGGGAGAAGGCACGCUGACACGUAGGUGAAGUGAUUUACUCACGGAGCUGAAGUCAGUCGAAGAUACCAGCUGGCUGCAACUGUUUAUUAAAAACACAGCACUGUGCAAACACGAAAGUGGACGUAUACGGUGUGACGCCUGCCCGGUGCCGGAAGGUUAAUUGAUGGGGUCAGCGCAAGCGAAGCUCCUGAUCGAAGCCCCGGUAAACGGCGGCCGUAACUAUAACGGUCCUAAGGUAGCGAAAUUCCUUGUCGGGUAAGUUCCGACCUGCACGAAUGGCGUAAUGAUGGCCAGGCUGUCUCCACCCGAGACUCAGUGAAAUUGAACUCGCUGUGAAGAUGCAGUGUACCCGCGGCAAGACGGAAAGACCCCGUGAACCUUUACUAUAGCUUGACACUGAACAUUGAGCCUUGAUGUGUAGGAUAGGUGGGAGGCUUUGAAGUGUGGACGCCAGUCUGCAUGGAGCCGACCUUGAAAUACCACCCUUUAAUGUUUGAUGUUCUAACGUGGACCCGUGAUCCGGGUUGCGGACAGUGUCUGGUGGGUAGUUUGACUGGGGCGGUCUCCUCCUAAAGAGUAACGGAGGAGCACGAAGGUUGGCUAAUCCUGGUCGGACAUCAGGAGGUUAGUGCAAUGGCAUAAGCCAGCUUGACUGCGAGCGUGACGGCGCGAGCAGGUGCGAAAGCAGGUCAUAGUGAUCCGGUGGUUCUGAAUGGAAGGGCCAUCGCUCAACGGAUAAAAGGUACUCCGGGGAUAACAGGCUGAUACCGCCCAAGAGUUCAUAUCGACGGCGGUGUUUGGCACCUCGAUGUCGGCUCAUCACAUCCUGGGGCUGAAGUAGGUCCCAAGGGUAUGGCUGUUCGCCAUUUAAAGUGGUACGCGAGCUGGGUUUAGAACGUCGUGAGACAGUUCGGUCCCUAUCUGCCGUGGGCGCUGGAGAACUGAGGGGGGCUGCUCCUAGUACGAGAGGACCGGAGUGGACGCAUCACUGGUGUUCGGGUUGUCAUGCCAAUGGCACUGCCCGGUAGCUAAAUGCGGAAGAGAUAAGUGCUGAAAGCAUCUAAGCACGAAACUUGCCCCGAGAUGAGUUCU